ACCGGUGACAGGUGGUGCAUGGUUGUCGUCAGCUCGUGUCGUGAGAUGUUGGGUUAAGUCCCGCAACGAGCGCAACCCUUAUUGUUAGUUGCUACGCAAGAGCACUCUAGCGAGACUGCCGUUGACAAAACGGAGGAAGGUGGGGACGACGUCAAAUCAUCAUGCCCCUUAUGUCCUGGGCCACACACGUACUACAAUGGUGGUCAACAGAGGGAAGCAAUACCGCGAGGUGGAGCAAAUCCCUAAAAGCCAUCCCAGUUCGGAUCGCAGGCUGCAACCCGCCUGCGUGAAGUUGGAAUCGCUAGUAAUCGCGGAUCAGCAUGCCGCGGUGAAUACGUUCCCGGGCCUUGUACACACCGCCCGUCACACCAUGAGAGUCGGGAACACCCGAAGUCCGUAGCCUAACCGCAAGGGGGGCGCGGCCGAAGGUGGGUUCGAUAAUUGAGGUGAAGUCGUAACAAGGUAGCCGUAUCGGAAGGUGCGGUUGGAUCACCUC
rnacentral:rRNA from 1 species